GUAUUCUUCCCAAAUGAUGGCUAAGAUCAAGUGUAGUAUCUGUUCUUAUCAGUUUAAUAUCUGUAGGCUGCAAGGUAUGGAUCCAACAACUUUUUGAUUCUCCUUUUAGAAGUCAUGAAAAUUAACUAUAAACAACAGUAUUCAAGGAGAUAUUAGUAUUUUACUGACUCAAACACU
rnacentral:snRNA from 1 species